rnacentral:rRNA from 1 species
GAUCCCUCUUUUUGUUUUUCGGUUUUCUCUAUUUUUUUUGUUAAAAAUGUAUGACUCUAUAAAUUUUAGACCGUGAGGCCAAACUUGGCAUGUGAUACCUUUUCGGAAAGCCCAAAGAGAGCUCUCCGAUGAAUGAGGACGCACAAUGGAAUUCUUUUAUUUGUUUUUUUCUACUCUAAAUUUUGACCUUAAUGUAUUUUUUCAGGCCUUUUUUGUGAAUCUUUGCUAUAUUACGGGGCAAAAAUUAAAUGUUCGGACAUUAUUUUUGAAUAUUUUGCGUUUAUCAAAGCUCAUAUAGACAAGAUAGGGUAUUCCUACAUAGCCGGUGGUACCCACGGGCAAAUGGAUCAUAAAGUCUUCAAAAAAGAAUAGAUACGAUUACAUUGCAUGUAGUAACGGAUGCGAUCAUACCAGCAAUCACUAGA